CCUACGGGUGGCUGCAGUGGGGAAUAUUGCACAAUGGGCGCAAGCCUGAUGCAGCCAUGCCGCGUGUGUGAAGAAGGCCUUCGGGUUGUAAAGCACUUUCAGCGGGGAGGAAGGCGUUAAGGUUAAUAACCUUGUCGAUUGACGUUACCCGCAGAAGAAGCACCGGCUAACUCCGUGCCAGCAGCCGCGGUAAUACGGAGGGUGCAAGCGUUAAUCGGAUUUACUGGGCGUAAAGCGCACGCAGGCGGUCUGUCAAGUCGGAUGUGAAAUCCCCGGGCUCAACCUGGGAACUGCAUUCGAAACUGGCAGGCUAGAGUCUUGUAGAGGGGGGUAGAAUUCCAGGUGUAGCGGUGAAAUGCGUAGAGAUCUGGAGGAAUACCGGUGGCGAAGGCGGCCCCCUGGACAAAGACUGACGCUCAGGUGCGAAAGCGUGGGGAGCAAACAGGAUUAGAUACCCGAGUAGUC
rnacentral:rRNA from 1 species